rnacentral:pre_miRNA from 1 species
AACAAAUCAAUCUUUCAUUUUUUAUCUAUAAUAUUUGACUUUUCGUUUUAUUUAAAAAACUUUUACGGUUAAUAUUUUUAUUUUUAUUAGAUGAUAAAUCGUGAAUAGUUAGUACUUUACGUGUGACUUAUUUUUUUAAUUUCUUAAUUUUUUUUCAAAUAAAACGGAUGAUCAAACGCUGAACACGGAAACCCAAAGUUUGUCUUAUU